CUCCCCUCCCGACCUCUCCAGAAGCGAACAGAGCAGCUCUCCUCUUCCUCCCCGUCUCUUCCCUUUCCCUCCCUCUCUCUUCCUCCCGACCUCUCCAGAGACAGACAGGGCGGCGCCGCCGAGGGCCCAUGGCCUCUCCGUGCGCCGCCUCUCUCCCUCUCCUGAUGUGGCGCGGCACCGGCAGGCCCCCAAGGUGGCGCGACAGCGAGGCAGCGCGUCGUCAGUGCAAGCAGCCGCCACCAGGAGAUAAUAGGCCCAGUGUGGCCGCAAAUCAUGAGUUCCGGUGGUAGCACGACCGGCACAGAGCAGAAGCGCUGACUAGAGGUUGUCAUGAUCUUCUUCGUUCACCAUAGGGUUUGCCAUUGUCCUGAUGCUGAGGGUUCGUCACUCCUCCAUCUCAAAUUUCACUUAUUUGCUGUCCGCAUUUGAUUUAUUUUUUUAAGUCAUGACAGCUACUAUAUGAGCUAAGCCUAAUACAAUCAAUGGGGGACACAAAUUCUUUUUUAACUAGCACUAGAUCUACAAAAAUACCGAAUAUAUCUCUAGAUAGGUCCUCAAUUUCUCGUGCUCUGUAAUUUUGCUAUUACACUUUCAGUGUUAACCAUACUUAUUUCCUAUGCCAGAAUCCUUGGAGGUGUGGAUAACAAUACCUGUAAUGUUCUGUAUCUGCGUAUUGAAAAAAAAAAUUGCAGGUUAUGUUCAGCAUUUUAUUAAGAGGAAAAAGGAAUACUGUCCUACUCCCAUGUCUCAGUUUAAAUUAUUUAUCAGCGAAAGUAAUGGUUUAAACUUUUUUAAAAUUACCGGUGUUCUGAUGGUGUUUGACUGAUUUUAUAACUUUUCCACAUCAGGUCAAAUGGUACCUUUAGUAGAAUACUAUAUUAAUGAAAAAUUUGAUUGCAGUAUAUACAUUUUCAUGCCAUAUUGCCAUACAUCAAUGAACUUUUUUCUUUUAUGAAUUAUCAUUGAAGGUAAAGAGUUAUUGCAUGCCAUUCUUCAUGGAGUAUGUUGUUUCUGCCAAAUAAUUUGAUCGUUCACAGCCUCCUGGACUGAAGGAGAAACAAACAUGCUGCACAGAGAAGGGAGGAUGCCAACGAGAGCCCAUUUCAUGGAUAGAUGGGGUUCAAGUAGGCCGUUCUCCGCAAUACAAGAUUGAGCGCAAGUUGGGAAGGUGGUUUUGGGCAAGUAUACGCUGCCAGAAGGAUUACAGGGGGAACAUAGCACACUGGACCUGAUGCUUAUGAGGCCUGCUGCCCAUGUUGAAGGAGGCCAUAUACACGAAGGAUCAUAGGCCAUGCUUCCUGAUGACACAUGUUUAAAGUGUGCAUACGAAGAAAUCCUCAGGGCAAGCUGGUUGUAGACACGAUGAUGAUCAGUUGUGUCGUCUACUCCCUGACUGCAACACACAUGUGCAUUUAUAGUUCAAUUUCCAUGGCUGCUCUACCACAGUUGCUCAUCAUACUCCCUUGACUGCAACGUAUAGAGGUUCUUCUACUCAAUCUAAUAUCUCUUGGAGUCCUGCUCCAUGAAAGGUACGAAUCUAAUUCAGGAUAAUUGUGCUCCAUGCCUUCAUUCCUCCUAACACUUCUUUUAUAUAUAAUAAUGUUGCAGUGAAGCUUGCUUCUUUUAGAAAACAAUGGUAAAAUUUAAUGCUUUAUUACUAAUAAGUUAUGAAGUUGAUUAGUUGAUUGAUCAGUGUGUGUAUCAUUCACUUAUAUAUGAUACUAUCUACUUACACUUAUUAGUUCAUUGAAAAUAUAAAAAACCUGUUCAUUUCCAGUUUUCCAACUCCUAAUGGUUACAUCCAGAUACGAUUCAGUUCUUUUUUUUUCAAACUGAAUAAUUAAUACAGGUACAAGCUAAAAUUACAAAUCUUACCAAUGUUUCAGCAUGAGCACUAUUUCUUAGCUUGCCUUCCAAAAAAAUGAGCUGGUCAAUUUAAGGUUGUGUACCAAGAAAAAAGAGCUGGUCAAUUUAAGGUUGUGUAUUGCCUGCGAGUGUUUGUUCUAAUUCUUUGGCUAAGAACGUUGAUUUCAGUGUACUGUGUUCCUUAAGAUUGCCGGUCUGAAUUAUUUUUUCUUGGUAGCAAAGACCUUGUUACUUUCUGUGUUAAUCACUAGAUUUAUACAUGAGUGCCAACAUUAACUAUACAUGAGUGCCAAAAUUAACCUUUUGUUCUGCAGAGCAUCUUGUUCCCUUGCAUAGGGUGAUAAAAAAGUUAUAUUCGCCUGGCUAUCUGAAGCCUCUAAUAUAACUAACUCCCGACAAAAAAGGGUGACCUGUUUAAAUAUUUCAAAAACAAUGUAUAUUAUGUUGUUAUCUCCAGUACACUUAGAAACUACUACUAUUGUUUUGUGUCAUGUGAUUAACUAUGUGCCUCUCUAUUUGAACAGUUCUUAACUCCACACCAGGAACCAAACUUUUGGCUCUAUAUACUUGGCUACAACUUUUAUCUAAUUUCCAGUCUAUGAACUAAACAUAUAUUACGUAUGUGUAACAGUCAUAUUCUCUCGAUCUUCUAUUGCAGUCCGGUCAUUACCAUAAAUUAAGUUGAUAGACACCGGUUCUACGAAGAAGAUAUUUGAAGAUCUGAUUAUUUUUUUCAUUAUUUUUUAUGUCAACUUUUCCUUAUUUAUUGAACCUUUUAUAGACACACAACUACCGGUAUAAAAACGCGUAAAAUGUAAUAUACAUGUUCUAGAUAUAUAUAUCUACCUCUUUGAGCUCCUAUUAUUACCAACAUGUUUUUUC